GUCAAGAUGUCCAAGUGCUCAACGAGACAGAUUUGAAAUCUGUAAAAUCUGUCUGGACUCGCCAGUGCAGGUUCAAAUCUUCCUCUCGACG
rnacentral:tRNA from 1 species